GUCCAGACUCCUACGGGAGGCAGCAGUGGGGAAUAUUGCACAAUGGGGGAAACCCUGAUGCAGCGACGCCGCGUGAGCGAUGAAGUAUUUCGGUAUGUAAAGCUCUAUCAGCAGGGAAGAAAAUGACGGUACCUGACUAAGAAGCCCCGGCUAACUACGUGCCAGCAGCCGCGGUAAUACGUAGGGGGCAAGCGUUAUCCGGAUUUACUGGGUGUAAAGGGAGCGUAGACGGCUGUGCAAGCCAGAUGUGAAAGCCCGGGGCUCAACCCCGGGACUGCAUUUGGAACUGUGUGGCUGGAGUGUCGGAGAGGCAGGCGGAAUUCCUAGUGUAGUGGUGAAAUGCGUAGAUAUUAGGAGGAACACCAGUGGCGAAGGCGGCCUGCUGGACGAUGACUGACGUUGAGGCUCGAAAGCGUGGGGAGCAAACAGGAUUAGAUACCCUCGUACG
rnacentral:rRNA from 1 species